rnacentral:sRNA from 1 species
ACAGUCGUGUUCGCAUCUGGUCUAACAGACCCGCGAGAACGAAGGACGCUUGCCUUUUUCCGGUCGGGGAAGAGGGAAGAAGGUGUUCAGAUUUUGCAAAUCUAAAUGUCAUAAAAACUUUAAAAAGAGGCGCAAUCCUCGCAAAGUUAGGUGGACCAAAGCAUUCCGGAAAGCAGCUGGUAAAGAGCUUACAGUGGAUAAUUCAUUUGAAUUUGAAAAACGUAGAAAUGAACCUAUCAAAUACCAGCGAGAGCUAUGGAAUAAAACUA